UCAGUGGCGAACGGGUGAGUAACACGUGAGCAACCUGCCCUGAACUCUGGGAUAAGCGCUGGAAACGGCGUCUAAUACUGGAUAUGAGCUGCGGAGGCAUCUUCGUGGUUGGAAAGAUUUUUCGGUUUGGGAUGGGCUCGCGGCCUAUCAGCUUGUUGGUGAGGUAAUGGCUCACCAAGGCGUCGACGGGUAGCCGGCCUGAGAGGGUGACCGGCCACACUGGGACUGAGACACGGCCCAGACUCCUACGGGAGGCAGCAGUGGGGAAUAUUGCACAAUGGGCGGAAGCCUGAUGCAGCAACGCCGCGUGAGGGAUGACGGCCUUCGGGUUGUAAACCUCUUUUAGCAGGGAAGAAGCGAAAGUGACGGUACCUGCAGAAAAAGCGCCGGCUAACUACGUGCCAGCAGCCGCGGUAAUACGUAGGGCGCAAGCGUUAUCCGGAAUUAUUGGGCGUAAAGAGCUCGUAGGCGGUUUGUCGCGUCUGCUGUGAAAUCUGGGGGCUCAACCCCCAGCCUGCAGUGGGUACGGGCAGACUAGAGUGCGGUAGGGGAGAUUGGAAUUCCUGGUGUAGCGGUGGAAUGCGCAGAUAUCAGGAGGAACACCGAUGGCGAAGGCAGAUCUCUGGGCCGUAACUGACGCUGAGGAGCGAAAGGGUGGGGAGCAAACAGGCUUAGAUACCCUGGUAGUCCACCCCGUAAACGUUGGGAACUAGUUGUGGGGUCCAUUCCACGGAUUCCGUGACGCAGCUAACGCAUUAAGUUCCCCGCCUGGGGAGUACGGCCGCAAGGCUAAAACUCAAAGGAAUUGACGGGGACCCGCACAAGCGGCGGAGCAUGCGGAUUAAUUCGAUGCAACGCGAAGAACCUUACCAAGGCUUGACAUACACGAGAACGCUGCAGAAAUGUAGAACUCUUUGGACACUCGUGAACAGGUGGUGCAUGGUUGUCGUCAGCUCGUGUCGUGAGAUGUUGGGUUAAGUCCCGCAACGAGCGCAACCCUCGUUCUAUGUUGCCAGCACGUAAUGGUGGGAACUCAUGGGAUACUGCCGGGGUCAACUCGGAGGAAGGUGGGGAUGACGUCAAAUCAUCAUGCCCCUUAUGUCUUGGGCUUCACGCAUGCUACAAUGGCCGGUACAAAGGGCUGCAAUACCGCGAGGUGGAGCGAAUCCCAAAAAGCCGGUCCCAGUUCGGAUUGAGGUCUGCAACUCGACCUCAUGAAGUCGGAGUCGCUAGUAAUCGCAGAUCAGCAACGCUGCGGUGAAUACGUUCCCGGGUCUUGUACACACCGCCCGUCAAGUCAUGAAAGUCGGUAACACCUGAAGCCGGUGGCCCAACCCUUGGGAGGGAGCCGUCGAAG
rnacentral:rRNA from 1 species